UACGUAGGGUGCAAGCGUUGUCCGGAAUUAUUGGGCGUAAAGAGCUCGUAGGCGGUUCGUCACGUCGGCUGUGAAAUCCCGAGGCUCAACCUCGGGUCUGCAGUCGAUACGGGCGGACUGGAGUACUGCAGGGGAGACUGGAAUUCCUGGUGUAGCGGUGAAAUGCGCAGAUAUCGGGAAGAACACCCGUGGCGAAGGCGGCACUCUGGGACGGUACUGACGCUGAGACGCGAAAGCGUGGGAGCGAACAGG
rnacentral:rRNA from 1 species